rnacentral:lncRNA from 1 species
AAAGCUGCGAGCCCUACAAUUACUGGGAUUACAGUGAGAGGGUAUUGAUCUGCAGCCGGCAUUGUAAGAUCAAGCGGGCAGGCGGAUGCAAACACCCCCCCACACACACCUCCCGCUGACGCUUAGUCCUGAAAAGCGCUAAAAAACCGUUUAUAAAUGUUUGAUUUCAGACGCAGUACCAACACCUGCUGCAGAAGAAUUACCCCCGCCGGUGGUGAUACAGCAACCCCCCCCCUUUUCCCAUGUCCCCCAUUCCCCUCCCCUCCGCCUCCCACCUUUGACCAUCCGAACAUAGCGCCAAGGAUGCAACCACUUUAAUCUUUCUUUUCUUUCCUUUUUUUAAUUACAGACGCAUAAUAUACACAUAAGCAACAACCACAAAAAAAAAAGAAAAGAAAAGCGAGAGGGGGAAAGGAGGCCCAGCAAAGGCGGGUAAAUGCAGCCCUAAUGCACAGAUAGCUGACAUCAACUUCCGUUAGCCAGCUCCUCGGGAUCGAACCUUUCGAUUGUAACUGGGACAAUUUGCAUAGUGAUUCCCUUUCAUAGCUUUCCCAGGUCCUUAACAAGCCCAGGCAGCUAUUCAAAUGCAAGGCUAGGCUGACCAAAAAAGAACUAUCCUACGACCGAAGAAGAGAAGACAAAAUUCCCGAUUAUCAUGAUUAUUUUUUUCUUUUCUCUCUUUUCUCUUCUUUCUCUCUUCCCGUCUCUCUUUCUCUCUCCCUUUUCUCUUACAGAUUUAGCUGCGAGCUGUUUAUUUAUGGCUGGAAAUGUGUGUGAGAGAGAAAAGAAUUGAUCUUUCCCGGGAUUUAAAGAUGGAGCAAAGGGCGCUGGAGGGAAUUUUUGUUUGCUUGUUUUGCGUAGACCCAGCUCACAAAUUGGGGGUAAUGGGGGAAGGAGAUGCCUAGUCCUCCCUCGCCUCUUCACCUCACAACCUUCCUGGACUCCGCACCCCUGAGCAGCCUGGGCGGACCCGGACCCCGAAGGACUAGUCCAGCAGUAUGUUGGUUUGCCUGCUCCGCAGUGGGCUGCAGAAGAGGGCUUCACAGAGGGGGCCACCCCUGUCCCUUCUCCUUAAAUGAGUCCAAUAAAAGAUUGAUUUUUCCCCCUCCCUCCUAGGGGGCAAUCCUAGGAUGCGAACCUGAUCGGAUGUCAAAGAGGCAACUUGCCAUGAAAUUCGCUAAUGCACCGCGACUCACCGGGGUAAGCAUAUCUAACAGGAGCAUGCGAGGGGAAAGAGACUUGGGGAAAAGCUGAAGGCGACGGUGAUCAGAAGGGCUAGUGAAGGGGUAACGGUGACAUUUGGCACCCAGCUGAGUUUAGUGGACAUGCAAACAAGGUUUAAAGCUCUGCAGAGGUCAGCAACGCGUCAUGAGCUCAGAAAGCUGAGUGCUAGCUCCUACCCAGCAGCAGUCAGUUUGCUGCCCCCGCAACUGACAAUUUCUCUGCUUUCGAGUUUUAAGUAGCUACUGAGUGCAGGAAGACCUGGUGUAGCCAGCGUGUGCGUAACAUACGUGGAGCUCUACAAUCGAAUACACAGAGGAUGCAUAUUUGUAUAUUUUUAGCGUGGGAUUAUAGCACGAGAAUACUGCUCUACACAGAUGCAUUUGUACAAUACUUGUGCAUACCGUUAUAGAAAUAUAAAGAGUAGGAAUACAUUCUAGAGUGCAAAUUACUAAAUGUGAAUUUGUCAUCAUGUCUGUGUGGUAGUCCAGGAAGAUUAAAUUCUCCCGAUUUCUUUGACUGUUUGGUAUCUCUCCUCACCAACUGUAGCCCCUUAGUAUUUUUAGGAUUUGAUUAUUUAACUGAGCAGUUUAUUUGUUUUCUCUGAUGCUUCACUGAGCACUAUAAAGAGCUGGUGUCAAUUGUUAUGAAUGCGGCACCUGAUUUCGUGUUUACUUUUUUUCAAGAGGUAGAAGAGAGGUAGGCUUGCUUAGAAAGUGGAGAGGUGGAGGGGUUAAACCGUAUACGGAACCCAAUAAAACAUUGAUUUGUAACUCGUUCUUCCA